rnacentral:rRNA from 1 species
CCUACGGGUGGCAGCAGUAGGGAAUUUUCGUCAAUGGGCGCAAGCCUGAACGAGCAAUGCCGCGUGAACGAGGAAGGUCUUAGGAUCGUAAAAUUCUGUUGAAGGGGAAAAAGAGCGGAGAGAGGAAAUGGUCUCCGAUUGAUAUUAGCCUUCGAGGAAGGCACGGCUAACUACGUGCCAGCAGCCGCGGUAAUACGUAGGUGGCGAGCGUUAUCCGGAAGGAUUGGGCGUAAAGGGUGAGUAGGCGGCCUGCUAAGUCUGGAGUGAAAGGUACCGGCUCAACAGGUGCAGGCUCUGGAAACUGGCGGGCUUGGGAGCAGGAUAGGGCGGUGGAACUCCAUGUGUAGCGGUAAAAUGCGUAGAUCUAUGGAAGAACACCAGUGGCGAAGGCGGCCGCCUGGCCUGUUACUGACGCUGAGGCACGAAAGCGUGGGGAGCAAAUAGGAUUAGAUACCCGGGUAGUC